rnacentral:misc_RNA from 1 species
UUUCCGUAGGUGAACCUGCGGAAGGAUCAUUACUGAGUUCAUGCCCUCACGGGUAGAUCUCCCACCCUUGAAUAUUUAUACCUUAGUUGCUUUGGCAGGCCGUGGAAACACCAUGGGCUCCGGCUUAUGCGUGCCUGCCAGAGGAAACAAACUCUGUUUUUAGUGAUGUCUGAGUACUAUAUAAUAGUUAAAACUUUCAACAACGGAUCUCUUGGUUCUG